UGAAAACACACACACACACACACACACACAGGACAGAUAACUAGGGGUGGGGCCACACCAAUACAAAUGUUUCCCCUCCUUUGUCAAAGCCAACUACUCUUAGUAACAUCGCUUUGACAUGAUCUGAACUGUUGACUUUGCUGUAUUGUAUUUGAUUAUUUUUUACUAUUUUAUAUACUAUUUGGCUUAUUGAUUUCAAUCAAAUUUGAAUUAUAUGAUUAUGUACAACAUUUUAAGUCUUGUGGGUGUUUAAAGUGCUCUAUAAAUAAAAUUGGUAUGGUAAAUAUAAUGGCACAAUAAACUGAGUAGAACUGCAAUGGAUUGAACUGGGAUGUAAUUUUUAAAAAUGUUUUGGCUCUAGUAGCUUUUAUUUGAAAGUGUUAUGACAGGAAAGUAGGGUAAUGAGAGGAAACAUGCGACAAAGGUCAGCAGGUCAGAAAUCGAACCUGUGACAGCUGCAUGGAGGACUAAGGCCUCUUUAUGUGAGCUGUGUCCUCAUCACAGCGCCAGACUGGAAUGGAUUUGAUUCAAUUUCAAUAUCUCUGUUAUUGGAUAGAUUUAGUUUUAUAUUUCUGUUUUUAUUGCAGAAUGCCUUGAGAUGAGAUUAUUUAAUUUUAUUACAUCGCUCUUAAAUAUAUAUAUAUAUAUAUAUAUAUAUAUAUAUAUAUAUAUAUUUAAGACCUUGUCUACUCAUAAGCAAUUUCUCCUUGAAGAUCAAUAAAGUAUAUUCUAUAAUUUUGUGCUGGACCAAUAUAAGUUGAUGAAAGAAGCACACGGUGACAGAACAAUCUUCCCUGAAUAUGCUUGAAAUCUCCAUAUGUUUCUUUAAAACAGCCCUUAUGAUGGCUGAGUCAGAGCAGACUACAGAUGACAUAAAUUGAUGAAAAUAUUGAACUUUCUGCUAUAAUGGUGUGAUGUGGUCUUGUGUUAAAGUUUAUCAUUUAAGGCCCUCUUCCUCCAGAAGAAGUGAGGAAGAAAGGAAAGAACAAACGCAUUCCCUAAAUUGAAGAUGACCUGGAUGACACAUGAAAUUCAGAUGGAGGUCUGGAAGUGGAUUUCUCCGGUUCAAAACAGAGCAAAUUGGAUCACAGCGAAACGGUUGGAACAACCGUACAGGACUCAGACUGCUGCAUCAACACAAAUGUCAUAGUAACCCGAUGAUUAAAGCAACUCUGCAACGAAUCACUCCAAACACAACUUCAAUCUUACAUGGGAUGUUUGAUGGCC